rnacentral:rRNA from 1 species
UACGUAGGGUGCAAGCGUUAAUCGGAAUUACUGGGCGUAAAGCGCUUGUAGGCGGCUUGUUAAGUCGCGUGUGAAAUCCCUUGGCUCAACCAAGGAAGUGCGCGCGAAACUGGCGAGCUCGAGUGCCGGAGAGGGUCGCGGAAUUCCCGGUGUAGAGGUGAAAUUCGUAGAUAUCGGGAGGAACACCAGUGGCGAAGGCGGCGACCUGGACGGACACUGACGCUGAGACGCGAAAGCGUGGGGAGCAAACAGG